UGCACACUGAUUGACAAGACAAAAGGUGAAAAUAUAUCGCCCAUACCUAAAUACAUAUGUAGAUAUAAGGCAGGCCUAGGAAGAAACCCAUACGCGAUUUGUGGCUGCUCACCUGUAGACACUUGACGUAGUCACCUCCCAGGGGUGGUUUCACUUUUUAAGCUGCCCGAAAUUGGACAGAACGUCGGCAAGUGCAGCGCAAGAUGUUAUCCCCCCAGCGUACAAACCAGCGACUGCGGUUGCGCAGCGUGAAUUGGACUCAGUCGACUGGAGUUAUUCAGGUUGUAAAAAUGGAAA